rfam:Aedes albopictus isolate Foshan contig47695, whole genome shotgun sequence.
UGCCCAGCACCUCCUAUCCCUACCUCCACGUGGUACCGGCCGGAAACUAUGAGCAACCUUAGGGAAGAUCGGGUAACCAACCCCGGUGGGAACUUUGGUCAUAGGCUGACAGGGAAGA